rnacentral:misc_RNA from 1 species
GAUGAAGAACGCAGCGAAAUGCGAUAAGUAAUGUGAAUUGCAGAAUUCAGUGAAUCAUCGAAUCUUUGAACGCACAUUGCGCCCGUCAGUAUUCUGGCGGGCAUGCCUGUUCGAGCGUCAUUACGCCCCUCAAGUCCCCUGUGGACUUGGUGUUGGGGAUCGGCGAGGCUGGUUUUCCAGCACAGCCGUCCCUUAAAUUAAUUGGCGGUCUCGCCGUGGCCCUCCUCUGCGUAGUAGUAAAACACUCGCAACAGGAGCCCGGCGCGGUCCACUGCCGUAAAACCCCCCAACUUUUUAUAGUUGACCUCGAAUCAGGUAGGACUACCCGCUGAACUUAAGCAUAUCAAUAAGCGGAGGA